CGCUACAUCAUUUGUGUUUUCUAUUUUCCCUACAUGACUUCCUCUCCUCUGUCACGAGUUUCAAAAGAAUGAGACUAAGGCACCCCAUGUCUUAUUACUGGCAGUGGCAGAACUCUCUGCACGGCGAACAGUGCACAUGGCUUCUCAAGAAUAUAUGGAUUCCAGUAAAGGAUUUUGUUUUAAAAAUGAAAACUUGUCGGGGAUAUCUAAAUGCUUAAAGAAGUUUGGCUCCAUCAGAGGAAUGAGAAAGAUGGCUUCCUCCUUGAAAUGAUAUCUUCGCUGCAGGAAGCCAGGUGCUUCCAGAAAAGCAAACUUGAAGCACAAUAAUGAACAAUAAAAUUUUUGCUUGCCAAGACCUCGUUUGGGAGAGAUCUUUGGAGAGAGACGAAUGAUCAGUCCACAUUAGCAUGGUGUGGUGAGUUUGGUAUAAACACGAGUUGCUAUGUGA